rnacentral:rRNA from 1 species
AUACGGAAGGUGCGAGCGUUAAUCGGAAUUACUGGGCGUAAAGGGUUCGUAGGCUGCUAAGUCAGUCGGAUGUGAAAGCCCCGGGCUUAACCUGGGAAUGCCAUUCGAUACUGCUUGGCUAGAGUAUGACAGAGGAAAGCGGAAUUCCGCAUGUAGCGGUGAAAUGCGUAGAUAUGCGGAAGAACACCGACGGCGAAGGCAGCUUUCUGGAUCAAUACUGACGCUGAGGAACGAAAGCGUGGGGAGCAAACAGGAUUAGAAACCCCGGUAGUCC